UUGUUUGCUUCAAUGGCAAAUGUAACAAGAUUGGAAGAAUAUAGAAAAGAUUAGCAUGACCCCUUUGCAAAGAUGACAC
rnacentral:snRNA from 14 species